CCACAAUCUUAAAAUCGUUUCAUCUUAGAAAAUGCUCUACAAGUAUUUCUUUGGUGGUUGUUUUUUAACCUAUAAAAGAUAAUGGAAUACAUUUUAUAGACUGGAUUUUAUCUGUUCCCUUGGCCUCUCCUGGCUGUACUCAGUUUAAUAGUCGUCAGUUUUUCUCCGUGUUGGAUUUAAUUAUGUAGGUCCAAACUAUUCCCCCCCAGUAGGUUAGCUUGCUAAAUAUUCUGUCACUUUUGCGAUCCCAUCGCUAGAAAUAGCUUAAUUUAAAAAAUCUGCCA
rfam:Echinops telfairi cont1.350830, whole genome shotgun sequence.